CUCUUUCCCGAUCACAAUAAUACUGAAACCUAACCUAAAUAGAGAACCAGACCAUUAAAGCAGACCCAAACUUGGUUGACCCGAAACUUUCAUCCCCAUCUGGUUUGUACGGCGACCGAACCUCCAACAUAAAGCUUCGGUUUCUCUUCCCGCAAUAAUCAGAUCACCGGUGGUGAACCCAGAACCAAUUGGCUCAAUCCAAUCGACUCUCUGCUGCCCUAACCGGUUCGCCCAAUUUUCGGUUUUUUAUCCUUAAUUUUUCAUUUUCUUCUUAAAUAAAAAAAGAAAAGACAGGUAUGAUACUUUCUUCGAUAGUUCUCUGUUGCUCAAUAUGUUUAAAGGGCUGUUGAAUUAUCACGUUAUAUGCUUCUGUGUAGUUACAAAGAUAAUGUCUUCGUUGGGUUUUCUUUAGUUCAUGAAAGAGUCUACGUGCUUAUGCAGAUAAUAUAUUUAUAGUCAUUGUUGAAGAAAGAAAGAAAGAGACACCCAAAAGCAAGAAUUGAACGUUUUGUAAUAGAAUGGAGAUACAGACACCACCAAGUUUAGGCCAUAAACAUGACUUGGGGUGGAAGUAUUGUGAAAUGAUUAAGGAAGGAGAGAAAGUGCACAUAAAAUGUAGUUAUUGUGGUAAAAUCUUUAAAGGUGGUGGGAUUUUUAGAUUCAAAGAACAUUUAGCUGGUCGAAAAGGUGGAGGACCAAUGUGUCUAAACGUUCCAGCUGAUGUUCGUCUUUUGAUGGAACAAACUCUUGAUGUUUCUUCUGCUAAGCAGAGUAGCAGGAGGCAGAGUAGCAGGCUGAAGAUGACUCCAGAACUACCAUCUUUACCUAAUAAUAAAAAUAGUGAUGACUUUGAUUGUCCUGAAGAACAUGUGCCCAUUAUCGUUACCCGCCAUAAAAAGGAUAUGGCAUGGAAAUAUUGUCAACCUUCUAAAUAUGGUGAUAGGGUCCAGAUAAAGUGUAAUUAUUGCGGUAUAGUGUUUAAGGGUGGUGGCAUUCAUAGAUUCAAGGAGCAUCUUGCUGGUCGUAAGGGCGCUGCGCCCAUUUGCGAUCGAGUUCCUUCUGAUGUUCGACUUUUGAUGCAACAGUGUUUACAUGAGGUUGUACCAAAGCAAAAAAAACAAAAAGUGGUUAUUGAGGAAACGAUUAAUGUUGAUUCACCUCCUGUUCCUCUUAAUACUGACACAUUUGCUAAUCAUUUUGGUGAUGAGGAUGAUGACAACGGAGCCCCCAUUUCAGUUGAAUUAAAUUCGAAUUUGUCACUGGAAGAAGAUGAUGUGUUAAAUCAAGGAAAUUUGCACACAAGGAAGAGGGGAAGAGGUAAAACUUCGGCAAUUGUUGAUCAUGGCGAUCCUUUAGAUGUUGUACAUUUGAAGAUGAUUGACAAUGUAAUCCACACAACAGUAGGCCGAUUCUUGUAUGAUAUAGGAGCAAAUUUUGAUGCUUUAGACUCUAUAUAUUUUCGAAGUUUGAUUGAUAUGCUUUCUUCUGGAGCAUCGGGGGCAGUAGCACCUUCAAAUCAUGAUCUUCGUGGUUGGAUACUGAAGAAGUUAGUUGAGGAAAUAAAGAAUGACAUUGAUCAAUCUAGGACAACAUGGGCCAGGACUGGUUGUUCUGUCUUGGUUGAAGAAUGGAACUCAGAGAGUGGUAUAACCUUACUAAAUUUUUUGGUGAAUUGUUCUCAAGGAACUGUGUUUUUGAAAUCCGUGGAAGCAUCGCACAUCAUAUAUUCUCCAGAUGGUUUAUAUGUGUUGCUUAAACAGGUGGUGGAAGAAGUUGGAGCUAGUAAUGUGUUGCAGGUGAUUACUAAUGGUAAUGAGCAUUAUACUGUUGCUGGCAAAAGGUUGAUGGAAGCUUUUCCUUCUCUGUUUUGGGCUCCUUGUGCAGUCCAUUGCCUCGAUUUGAUACUAGAGGAUUUUGCAAAACUUGAGUGGAUAGAUGCAGUAAUUGAACAGGCUAAAUCCGUCACAAGAUUUGUCUACAAUCACAGUGCAGUUCUGAAUCUAAUGAGAAAGUUUACUUAUGGCAAGGAUAUUGUGCAACAGGGAUUAACUCUUUCUGCCACAAACUUUACAAUGUUGCAAAGGAUGGCUGAUUUUAAACUGAAUUUGCAAACUAUGAUUACUUCGCAAGAGUGGAUGGACUGCCCAUAUUCGAAGCAACACGGGGGAUUGGCAAUGUUAGAUAUUAUAAGUAAUCGAUCAUUUUGGUCUUCAUGCAUCUUGAUAAUCCGCUUAACAAGUCCGCUCAUACGAGUUUUAGGUAUAGCUGGUGGUAAAAGGAAAGCUGCAAUGGGAUAUAUUUUUGCAGGAAUCUAUCGAGCAAAAGAAACUAUUAAGAGAGAACUUGUUAAAAGAGAGGAUUACAUGGUCUACUGGAAUAUUAUAGAUCAUAGGUGGGAUCAACGACGGCAUCCUCCUCUUCAUGUUGCAGGUUUCUUCCUUAACCCCAAGUUCUUUUAUAGCAUUGAAGGAGAUGUGCAUAAUGAGAUUCUAUCAAGAGUGUUUGACUGCAUAGAGAGAUUGGUUCCUGAUAUAGAAGUUCAAGAUAAGAUUGCGAAAGAAUUAAACAUCUACAAGAAUGCUGUAGGAGAUCUUGGGCGGAAGAUGGCAAUUAGAUCAAGAGGAACUCUGCUUCCUGGAGCAAUCAUAUUCCUUUUGAAAAGGUACAUGCCACUAGAAACUGUUUGGAGCAGAAACGACGCAGUGAUCUUGUCUUUGUGCAGUGCAAUUUGCGUCUCAAAGAAAUGGUUGAUGAAAGCAAAAACCAGGUACCUUUGGACCCUAUAUCAUUUGACAAUAUUAGUAUUGUGGAGGACUGGAUCCUGCAAAAUGAUAUUUGUUUAGAAGACUACGAGAGUGCAGAUUGGAUGUCUCUAGUUCCCCCUUCUGCUAACAAUAUGCCAGCAGGAUCCGCAGUUGAUGAAAUUGAAGACUUAGGUGUUGGGUUCACGGACUUUGAGAUUUUUGAAAGACUGAAGGAAUUUAAGUAAGAAGAUCAGGAAUCACACAGCAAAUCACUGGAAACAUUGACGACUGACUACGCUUUGUAUGACAACCACAACUCAGACAGAGUAUGAUGUUUUGUCAUUGAGGCUCUCUUUGACAGCUAUUAGCUCAGAAAUUGUGAAGAUGGAAUUGAAAAACCCAGUACCUUUGAGUUUUAAAUGAUUUAGAUAAGUAUUCUCUCUCUCCUAAAACCAACAAAAACAAUCAUAUUUGAGAUGUGUCCAAAACAAAACUGAAGCUGUUGCUAAGAUUAAACUGAAUAGAAGGGGUAAUCUAGCUGCUUUGAAUAUGAGAAACUGAAGCUGUUGCUAAGAUGAAACAGAAUAAAAGGGGUAAUCUAGCUGCUUUUGAAUAUGAGCCUGUGAAUGCUGAUAAUGCUGGUCAAGUAUUGUUACAUUAUUGUGAUUACUAAUGAAGCCUUGCAGUAAGAUUCAGAGAAA